GCUACCAUUUAAAUUACAAAUUAUGUUGUAUAUUUACACUUGACUGUUUAUUUAAACUUUUACAGGACAAUUUUAUGAGUUUGGACUUCUGAAAAGAAAUACAGAAGUGCUAGGAGAAUUAGCACCCAGUGAACUAGACAACUUCGAAAAAAUAUUGCAGAGAUUCUAUCAAUCCCUUGCCGCAGCAGAUGCGAAUAUGACAACUAUAAUAAACUCAAUC